AUCCAGAAGGUUAUAGAAGCAGAAAACAGUAGCGAAGGAAGAGUAGACUUUGGGUGCAUUGCCUAUGAGUCAGGCAGGGAACGCCAGGGACAGCUCUCAAGAAUCCUUAGGCUUUUCAAGAAGAGGAUGUCGACAUUUCCAGUACAGAUGGGCAACGCCACCAGCUCUUCUGGCUACAGCUCUUCUUUCUUUAAACCUCCUUUGAAGCCUCAGCCAAGCACAUGCAUGAUUAACACACACAGACAGGUGAUGGAUGACAGGAAUAAUAAAUUCCAUCCCAACACAGAACGAAGAUCCACAGAUGAGAGCACCUCUCAACUCCCAUCAGAGAAGCUUCUUACAGUCAGACAAUAAUUGGGAGAGAUCCAGAAGAGGUCAAUGGGAAAAGAGUGAGACACUCUGUGGAGUUCUCAGUCAUAAAUGAGAGGUUCAGAGGUUCAGUCCAUUAUCAUCAAGGCGGGAACAUGGCCGCACCCAGGCAGGCCUGGUGCAGGAGGAGCUGAGAGUUCUACAUCUUCAUCUGACGGCUGCUAGGAGAAGACUGGCUUCCAGGCAGCUAGGAUGAGGGUCUAAAAGACCACACUCACAGUGACACACCUACUCCAACAGUGCCACAUCUUCUAAUAGUGCCACUCCCUGGGCUGAGCAUAUACAAACCAUCACUGGAGGUUAGAAUAGGGAGGGUGGAUAUUGAAGAAGCUGGGAGGGCUCAAUACAACAAAAAUGUAUGGUAUAUAAUUCUGAAAGAAUUAAAAAAUAUUUUUUUUAAAAAAAGGAAUGUAUUCAUCCUAGCAAUGUCAAUUUUAGGAAGUAUGAAACAGAAGUUGAGAGAACAGAGUGAUUUUUUUCAAGAGGCAAAUGGCAG